AUUGAACGCUGGCGGCAUGCCUUACACAUGCAAGUCGAACGGUAACAGGUUAAGCUGACGAGUGGCGAACGGGUGAGUAAUGUAUCGGAACGUGCCCAGUCGUGGGGGAUAACUGCUCGAAAGAGCAGCUAAUACCGCAUACGACCUGAGGGUGAAAGCGGGGGAUCGCAAGACCUCGCGCGAUUGGAGCGGCCGAUAUCAGAUUAGGUAGUUGGUGAGGUAAAGGCUCACCAAGCCGACGAUCUGUAGCUGGUCUGAGAGGACGACCAGCCACACUGGGACUGAGACACGGCCCAGACUCCUACGGGAGGCAGCAGUGGGGAAUUUUGGACAAUGGGCGCAAGCCUGAUCCAGCCAUGCCGCGUGCGGGAAGAAGGCCUUCGGGUUGUAAACCGCUUUUGUCAGGGAAGAAAAGGUUCCGGCUAAUACCUGGGACUCAUGACGGUACCUGAAGAAUAAGCACCGGCUAACUACGUG
rnacentral:rRNA from 1 species